GGCGGGGUAGCUCAGUUGGUUAGAGCAGGGGAAUCAUAAUCCUCGUGUCGGGGGUUCAAAUCCCUCCCUCGCUACCA
rnacentral:tRNA from 2 species